UACCUGCAGCUCAAGUGGUGAUCAUUAUUAUUGGGCCUAAAACGUCCGUAGCCGGUUUAGUAAAUGCCUGGGUAAAUCGUGUAGCUUAACUAUACGACUUCCGGGUAGACUACUAAACUUGAGACCGGGAGAGGCUAGAGGUACUCCUGGGGUAGAGGUGAAAUUCUGUAAUCCUAGGGGGACCACCAGUGGCGAAGGCGUCUAGCUAGAACGGGUCUGACGGUGAGGGACGAAGCCCUGGGGCACAAACCGGAUUAGAUACCCGGGUAGUCCAGGGUGUAAACGCUGCUUGCUUGAUGUUAGUGGGCUCCGAGCCCAACUAGUGUCGGAGAGAAGUUGUUAAGCAAGCUGCCUGGGAAGUACGGUCGCAAGGCUGAAACUUAAGGAAUUGGCGGGGGAGCGACCACCAGGCGUGAAGCCUGCGGUUU
rnacentral:rRNA from 1 species